GGGACACAAAGUGCCAUCUGUAAAUCUGCAGCUCCUAAAACAACCAGUUGCUAGAGGCAACCCCGGAGCAUAUAAUUUUUAAACUCCAAUGAACUGUCUGGACACAUUUUUCUCCAAACUCACCAACCCCUGCAACCCUGGGAUUUGUUUCUAAUGUUAGGAGAGUGCUUAUCUGGUACCUCCUGACCCCUAAAAGGACACCAACAGAGAUGGGAACUCUAUUAUGUGAGACACUAAAUGAACAUGGAGAAUGGCAGCACCUGCCCCAAGUAGCUGACUGUCUAAAAUAGACAAAACAGGCACUGAAAAGCCUAUUAUCUCCAAUUAUAGAUGGCAGGUUACUCUUUCAUGUUUCCCAAACCGGUACGUCUUCAGAUCAAAUACUUACAAAAGACUAGUUCAGUAAAACAACCCCAGCCUUCUGCAAAGACUUGUGGGCCAGGAGCUGAGUGAUGUGCAUUAAGAGACCAACCUACUCACAGCCUAUAUAAUGCCAGUGAAGCAUUCAACCAGACAAGGAGAGACAAAAAGCCUGGGAACAAGGUCUGUGAUAAGUGAGAUCUCCUUUCCCUACCUUUCACCUGCAGGUAACUUUGUUGAUUAGUGACUCUGACAUGUGGCCUGGGGUUUUUUCUUAGUAAUGAAGAAAAAAAUUGGGCAUCAGUUCCUGAAUAUGACUGUAGUGCAGAGUUUUGAAAUAAAACCAAUGGUAUGUGGCUGAACCUGCCUGAUAAGAAGUUAUUAAAAAAAAGUAAUAAUGUCUUAGUCACAGCAAUGAGGAGAUAAAUUAUAUGUUAAAUGGCAAAGCACAGCACUGCAUAUUUCAUGCUCUGUAAUGACUUAAGAGUUCAUCAUGAUAAAUGUUAUUAAAAUAAGGACGAAAGGAAUUAAAUGUGAUGCUCUGCUACCUGUGCUGAGAUCUCUUCAACUCACUUAAUUCUUGCUGCCUUGCCUU